GACGAACGCUGGCGGCGUGCCUAAUACAUGCAAGUAGAACGCAGUGGGGACGGGUGAGUAACACGUGGGUAACCUCCCAUCAGAGGGGAUAACACUUGGAAACAGGUGCUAAACCGAUACUGAUGGAUGAAACCGAGGUGAAUUAGCUAGUUGGUGAGGUAACGGCUACCCAAGGCCACGAUGCAUAGCCGACCUGAUAGGUCGACCGGCCACACUGGGACUGAGCCACGGCCCAGACUCCUACGGGAGGCAGCAGUAGGGAAUCUUCGGCAAUUGACGAAAGUCUGACCGAGCAACGCCGAGUGAGUGAAGAAGGUUUUCGGAUCGUAAAACUCUGUUGUUAGAGAAGCGGUAUCUAACCAGAAAGCCACGGCUAACGACGUGCCAGCAGCCGCGGUAAUAC
rnacentral:rRNA from 1 species